UCUGGUGAUGAUGGCGAAGAGGUCACACCCGUUCCCAUACCGAACACGGAAGUUAAGCUCUUCAGCGCCGAUGGUAGUUGGGGGUUUCCCCCUGUGAGAGUAGGACGCCGCCAAGC
rnacentral:rRNA from 1 species